AUUAUUCUUUUAAGAUAACAAUGGACUUGAAGAACAGGAAAAGGAAAAAAGGCGUCUCGUGAUUGAAAAGUUCCAAAAAGCACCAUUUGAGGAAAUUGCAGCUCAGUGUGAAACCAAAGCAAACUUGCUUCACGAUAGACUGGCACAGAUACUGGAACUCACCAUCCGUCCUCCGCCUAGCCCCUCAGGAACGAUGACCAUUACUGCUGGACAUGCUCAUUACCAUUCUGUUCCAGUCUAUGAGAUGAAGUUUCCAGAUCUUUGUGUGUAUUAAGUGUCUUCUGAAGUCUGCUGGACAUUAUUUAGAAUAGAGUACAAUAGAAUGACCAAGAUGAGUUUUCAAAUUUUAUUGUUUAUUGUAUCUAACUUUAUUAUAAUGAUUCAUAUGAGCCAAAUACAGAUUACUUUAGCCAAAUUCAUGACACUGUCUUGAAUUGUUUUAUUCUGUAAUAUAUUUUGAGUUAGGUUUUUCACAGACCAUGUUUCUUCAUUUUCAUAUUUGAGUACAUGUGAAAAUCAAAUUUAAAACUUGUUUUGCCAUAUAGGUAAAUAUUUCAGUUACUCCAGGAAUUUGAAUUGCUUCAAAUUCCUUUAAUUUGAGAUAUUGUAACUGAAAAACCUAUUAAAGCCUUGGUUUGAUUUGGUUUUGUUUGGUUUGGGGUUUUUUUGGGGUUUUUUUUGUUUGGUUUUGUUUUUUUUUUACUCCUCUCCUCAAUUCUGUGUUGAACUUGAAUGCUUUUGGCUUGCUUCACCCCAUUCAGUGUAACCAGUGGAGCACUACCUGAGCUCCCUCUUGUUCAUGCUGUCAUAGCUACUGUUUGGUUUGAAAUAGAUGGAAAAAAACCAAUACCUUACAUGUGUUCAAAUACAGUGAAUGAAUUUAUGGACACGUGUUAAGUAUAUUUGAUGCAUCACAUAACAUGCUUUUUAGAUAGAUACAUCUAGUAUAUGUCCUGUGUUUCUUGCUAAAAGUUAAACCUUAAGCUUUGCAUAAGAGAGGAGAAAUCUCCUCUUGAAGCACGAAAUUGUGCAAUAUAUUUCAUGUCUUAAGAUGUAUGGUUUACAGACUGUACUUUUGAAAACACUGUAGUAUUUACUGUCUGCUUUAGUAUAAAUACAGGAGAGAUAUAUUUAGUAUAGCAGAAAAUAAACUGAGGGCAUUUUGAAUCAUAAAUACUGAAACUAUAUUCUAUGAGACGUUUCUCUGUAGUUUAUAACAGCUUUUUAGUGAUAUUUUAGAAAUUGAAAGAAAAGUCAAUGAAACCAUUUAAAGAUCAAGAAUUUAUUACAUAUAUUUUCAAGCAAAAGCAUUUUUAGAGAUGCAUCUCUGUGUUUGUUUUUGUUUCAUUUCUCAAACCUUUAAGGUAACUUUCAUAGGUUUACGUAUCUGAGCAUGUAUUAUUCAAAUGUAAAUAAAGUAAAACUGAUAGAGUAAAUCAUGGACAUUUGAUGAUAAUUGUCAAGGCUGUCUUUAUGACUCACUGAAUCCUGCAGGCAAAGAAAGAAAAGCAGCAUUCAUUGAUGCCAUGAAUAGUAAGUUUGACAUUAGCUGAAUCUGAGGCAGUGCAUACAUAAAUGAAUGCUCUCAAAUAUCUAUAGUAAAUGUAGACAUUUAAUUGAGUGCUUUGGAUGAACAGUGAACAUGAACAAAGUAACCUAACUUCAGUUAGCCCUGCUUUGAGCAGGAGCUUGGUUUAAAUAACCUUCUGAAGUCCCAACCUAAAUUAACCUUUGAUUGCAUAACUCAAGAUCUGAAGGAUUAUUAGUCCUGCUAAUUUGCUGACUGGAGCAUUAGCAAACCAACUGUAAAAAGGAUUUUAAGUUUCUUGAACGGUAGUCCAGUAUUUUACUGGAGUACAUUUAAAAGCUUGAUGUGGCAUGACAUCAGAGAAAUAACAGCUACUUAAACCUAUGAGAUGACAUGCUGAGACUUUCAGAAGGCAUUCACAAAGCUCAAAAGGUAAUUGAGACCUUCUUUUCAGUUUAACAGUGCAAUCACAGCUGUUAGUGGAUGACGAAACAGCCCCUUAUCUACAGCAUUCCGUUGUGAUUUUUACUGCUGCAGCGUAUCAGCCUGAUCAGACCACAGUCUACACAUAAAUAGGACUCUAGCUUUUAGUUUUCACUUUUUUUUUCUUUUUUUUUUUUAAGGUAAGACUAAUAGUUUUUUUGGCCUGUAUAAAGAGUGUAAUUUUUUAAAAAGUAAAUCCAACAUAGGGAUACAAUGUAAAACACCUACCCACUUUGUCCUUUUUUUUAGAAUAUCACUCAGCACUUUUGUACAAAAAGGAGUCUUAAGUAAUAAAGAAUGUACUUCUGUUUGCACUUGUGCAGUAUGGAGACUGUGCUGUAAAUACAGGAUUGUUUCUGUGAUUGAAUUCUGUUACAUGAAUGCUGCAUGUGGAAAAACUGUAUUUGGCAUUUCAUUUUCUGUUCUGUUGAUGAAGUAUUCUUCCUUUAUGGUGAUGGUAGGUUUCCGUGUUUCCAGUGUUCAGUUUGGGAAAUGCAGGUGUUGUGCAGGUGUAGUUCAGGGAGUGAAGAGCUUGUAACACUUUGUGUGUACAUGUGAUAUUUAAUUUCUUCCUUUAUGGAAAUUCAGGGAGUCUGUAAGUUGAUAAUUGGUUCACUUUGGCCUUUCUAGACACGUGGGAGACGGGAGUGACUGUAAAAUGUAUUGUGUUGGUAGUUACUGUUAUAUGAGCCAAUGAAUGAAACCAAAAGAAUUAAGAAUGCUGUUUGUUGUACAGUACAAAGCUGCUUUGUUUCACUUAUCUCUUUAUGUUCUUCAGAGAAGCUGCAGAACUUAAAAGCUCCUUAUGCAAACUGGCCCUGUCACUAAGCACUGUCUUAAUGGUUAUAAUUGGUACCUGGUUUAAAUGUAUUUCAGCUGUUGCUUGGGGUUCUCUUUCCUAUUACAUCAUCUUGAAAAAAAUAUAGUUUUUGGUAGUGAGUCACUUUAAGAUAAAUUAAAUUCAUGGUAAUUUCAAAAGGUAGAAAUAGCCUGUUGUCCAAAAUCAGAGUAGGGCUAAUUUGUCUGUUGUUCCAAUGAUCAUAUAUUCUGUACUGUACGUAAUGAACCAGUUUCAAUAAAUGUAAGAACACACUGUGCAAUCUAUAUUUAAGCAAUAAAAUAAACCAAAAUUUAAAAAUUAA